AAAAAUCGAAGACCCGAGCCGGCGCUUGCGCACUUAGUCUCCGCCACUGCUGUGGUCUCGUGCCCCGCCCCCCGGUCCCCCCACCCUCUAGGCUAGGCUGAGCGGCGGAGGUGGCCGUGCCGCUGGAAGCGGACAGACCCGAGUUAGAGGUGGGGGCGGGGGUCCAUCGCCCGCGGCCGGGCCGGCGCUCCCCUCCUACCCUCCCCGCGACCCCCGUCUGGCCCCCACGGCUAACGGUAGCGCAGCCGAACACGGCCCACGGGCAGGGCGCCGAAGAGGAGCAGGCGCGCGCCCGGGGACGAGCAGGGCGCAGUGAGGGAGGGGCGCGUCCACUGCCCCGGCCGGCCGACCGACACCGACCCCGCCUACUGCGGCGCGGGGACCCUUGG
rnacentral:lncRNA from 1 species